UACAGAGGGGGCGAGCGUUGUUCGGAUUUACUGGGCGUAAAGGGCGCGUAGGCGGCGCAAGAAGUCAGGCGUGAAAGCCCCGGGCUCAACCUGGGAAUUGCGCUUGGGACUGUUGUGCUUGAGUUCGGGAGAGGAGAGUGGAAUUCCCAGUGUAGAGGUGAAAUUCGUAGAUAUUGGGAAGAACACCGGUGGCGAAGGCGGCUCUCUGGACCGAGACUGACGCUGAGGCGCGAAAGCGUGGGGAGCAAACAGG
rnacentral:rRNA from 1 species